AUUGAACGCUGGCGGCAGGCCUAACACAUGCAAGUCGAGCGAACGGCGGACGGGUGAUUAAUGUCUGGGAAACUGCCUGAUGGAGGGGGAUAACUACUGGAAACGGUAGCUCCUACCGCAUACCCUCAGAUGUUCCCCGAUGGGAUUAGCUAGUCGGUGGGGUAACGGCUCACCUAGGCGACGAUCCCUAGCUGGUCUGAGAGGAUGACCAGCCACACGGGAACUGAGACACGGUCCAGACUCCCACGUGAGGCAGCAGUGGGGAAUAGUGCACAAUGGGCGCAAGCCGGAUGCAGCCAUGCCGCGUGUGUGAAGAAGGCCUUCGGGUUGUAAAGCACUUUCAGCGGGGAGGCGUUACCCGCAGAAGAAGCACCGGCUAACUCCGUGCCAGCAGCCGCGGUAAUUC
rnacentral:rRNA from 1 species